GAUUCUCUACCAGUCAUCUUGGGUGACCUGAGGUAGCCACAUGAAAUGGCCAGGUUUGACAUCAUCCCUCUUCUGUGCCAGAAGGAACAAUUAGUCCUUCCAUAAAUAGAUCAAUAUUUGCUCAUGCUGUAGACUAUGGAAUCCAACCUGUAGUAUCCUUUCUGCAUGUUGGCACCAAGCCCACCUCAUGAAACCAGCAAUGGGCAUUUUUCUAAUUCUACUUUCAAAGGUCCCAUUAUGGGUAAUAGAAAAGAACAUGAAAAAGUCUAUACCUUUUUUUUUCUCCUGCCAUUUUCCAAAAGUUCAUCUUCAAAAGGCAGGAAAAUGAAGCCAACAGGCACUAGAAACAUCCUGCAUGGAAAUCAUUCAAGGCUCACAAGUUUAUUACGUAAAUGUUGUAGCUGCCAGGUAACCACAGGUCCCCUUCCUGGGAGGAUUCCUUGAGGCACCAGCAGAGCAGCUUCCAGAACACAAGUCGUUAAGGAGCACAAAAAUGUAUUUCAAAUGCACAACUGUAAUGCCUUCUGCAUUGAGACAUGUCUACAAUAAACAUGGUCCAACUGGAUUACCAACUGCACCAUAGACACAGUACCUGAAUUAAAUAGCAGAAGAUAAGAGACUUGAAUAUUUGUAGCCUUUGAACAUAUUCUUCUGAGAUAGGACAUUCUUUGUUCCCUAAACUUGUAUGGGAC
rnacentral:lncRNA from 10 species